AGGAGUUGAGGAGGCUCGGGGAAAUUGGGAUUAGGUUGCAGAAAAAGCUUAAGGUUGGGAAGGCUGGGAUUACGGAGGGGAUUGUUAACACCAUACACGAACAAUGGAGGCGGUCUGAGGUUGUGAAGAUAGUGUGUGAAGAUUUGUGUAGGUUAAACAUGAAGCGGACCCAUGAUUUACUGGAGAGAAAAACUGGAGGAAUUGUUGUUUGGAGAUCUGGAAGUAAAAUAAUAUUAUAUCGG
rnacentral:misc_RNA from 1 species